AGUGAACGCUGGCGGUAGGCCUAACACAUGCAAGUCGAACGGCAGCACAGUAAGAGCUUGCUCUUACGGGUGGCGAGUGGCGGACGGGUGAGGAAUACAUCGGAAUCUACUUUUUCGUGGGGGAUAACGUAGGGAAACUUACGCUAAUACCGCAUACGACCUACGGGUGAAAGCAGGGGAUCUUCGGACCUUGCGCGAUUGAAUGAGCCGAUGUCGGAUUAGCUAGUUGGCGGGGUAAAGGCCCACCAAGGCGACGAUCCGUAGCUGGUCUGAGAGGAUGAUCAGCCACACGGGAACUGAGACACGGUCCAGACUCCUACGGGAGGCAGCAGUGGGGAAUAUUGGACAAUGGGCGCAAGCCUGAUCCAGCCAUACCGCGUGGGUGAAGAAGGCCUUCGGGUUGUAAAGCCCUUUUGUUGGGAAAGAAAAGCAGCAGGUUAAUACCCCGCUGUUCUGACGGUACCCAAAGAAUAAGCACCGGCUAACUUCGUG
rnacentral:rRNA from 1 species